rnacentral:rRNA from 1 species
AACGGGUGAGUAACACGUGGGUAACCUGCCCAUCAGAAGGGGAUAACACUUGGAAACAGGUGCUAAUACCGUAUAACAAUCGAAACCGCAUGGUUUUGAUUUGAAAGGCGCUUUCGGGUGUCGCUGAUGGAUGGACCCGCGGUGCAUUAGCUAGUUGGUGAGGUAACGGCUCACCAAGGCCACGAUGCAUAGCCGACCUGAGAGGGUGAUCGGCCACAUUGGGACUGAGACACGGCCCAAACUCCUACGGGAGGCAGCAGUAGGGAAUCUUCGGCAAUGGACGAAAGUCUGACCGAGCAACGCCGCGUGAGUGAAGAAGGUUUUCGGAUCGUAAAACUCUGUUAUUAGAGAAGAACAAGGAUGAGAGUAACUGUUCAUCCCUUGACGGUAUCUAACCAGAAAGCCACGGCUAACUACGUGCCAGCAGCCGCGGUAAUACGUAGGUGGCAAGCGUUGUCCGGAUUUAUUGGGCGUAAAGCGAGCGCAGGCGGUUUCUUAAGUCUGAUGUGAAAGCCCCCGGCUCAACCGGGGAGGGUCAUUGGAAACUGGGAGACUUGAGUGCAGAAGAGGAGAGUGGAAUUCCAUGUGUAGCGGUGAAAUGCGUAGAUAUAUGGAGGAACACCAGUGGCGAAGGCGGCUCUCUGGUCUGUAACUGACGCUGAGGCUCGAAAGCGUGGGGAGCAAACAGG